rnacentral:rRNA from 1 species
AUUGAACGCUAGCGGCAUGCUUUACACAUGCAAGUCGGACGAGUGGCGGACGGGUGAGUAACGCAUCGGAACGUACCCAGUAAUGGGGGAUAACUGUCAGAAAGGACAGCUAAUACCGCAUAUUAUUCGAGCGGCCGAUGUCGGAUUAGCGUGUUGGCGGGGUAAAGGCUCACCAAGGCCACGAUCCGUAGCGGGUCUGAGAGGAUGACCAGCCACACUGGGACUGAGACACGGCCCAGACUCCGACGGGAGGCAGCAGUGGGGAAUUUUGGACAAUGGGCGAAACCCUGAUCCAGCCAUGCCGCGUGUAUGAAGAAGGCCUUCGGGUUGUAAAGGACUUUUGGCAGGGAAGCGGUACCUGAAGAAUAAGCACCGGCUAACUACGUGCCAGCAGCCGCGGUAAUUC